rnacentral:lncRNA from 1 species
AGGUUCCCAGACUAGGGGUCUAAUUGGAGCUGUAGCCACUGGCCUAUGCCAGAGCCACAGCAACGCGGGAUCCAAGCCACAUCUGCAACCUACACCACAGCUCAAAGCAAUGCCGGAUCCUUAACCCAAAGAGCAAGGCCAGGGAUCGAACCCAUAACCUCAUAGUUCCUAGUUGGAUUUGUUAACCACUGAGCCAUGAUGGGAACUCUAAAUAUUUUCUUCUCAUUUCCCAAGUGGACUUAAUAUUUCAAUUUAAAAAAACCUCUCAAUAUAUUAUUUGCAUAAAAUAUUUUGAGUAGUUUUAUAAUCUUGGAAUGAUAAUGAAAAGAAAUAUAUAAAUAACAAAGUAAAAUGUUGAAAGAUCAGAUUCUAAAUUUAAAAUUUACAUUUUAAAUCUAUAUUAUAAAACUCUCAAUAAGCAUACUUACAAGCUUGUUCAAACAGGGAAAAAUUUAGUGAUAACUAUGACAGAAAAGACUUCAUAUACUUUACCUGCAAAAAUCCCUUAAACUUAUGCACAAAAAAAUUAAAUGAUGCAAAAUCCCAUAUAGAUAAUUCAGAAAGCCAUAAUAUAAAGGCCAAUAAAUAUGUGGAAGAUAUGUAAUAUUAUUAUAAAUAAAAAAAUGGUAUGAAAACAGUCAGAUAUUACAUACCAUCUAUAUGAAUUUGACAAAUGUUAGAAUGUCUGGUUGUGUUAGGUAUAAAAGAAGAUGCAGGAAAACACUCAAAAACACUUUCUGUCUGUUUUUCCUACUGGAUGUGGAAUGAAUAAAGUCAUUUUAUCAAAUCAGUUUACUUAGAAUUCCUGUAAAUGUGACCAGUUAUGGCCAGAAAUGAUCUGGGGUAAGAUAAAGAGCAGGAUACACUGGUAUCUUCCAGGACAAUGAAUUUUUAACACAUGCUUAGUAACUUAAAAUAUCUCUUGCAAAAAUUGCAAAUACAAAUAGAAAAUAGAGUGGAACUUAAAAUUUACAUAACAAAACUGAUUUCACAAUGGUGACCAAUUCAUUUACUCUAUAGCCUAAGAAUCUGUUGUGAGUGCCUGUUUUGCAUGUGUAUUUCAUGUAAGGAUAUUGGUGUGUUUUUUUUGUUUGGAAAGUAAAAUGAUUAUCCAGUUGAUGCUACAGGAAGUCCCAUGCUUUAUAUGUUGUUGUAACCAUUUUAACUUUUAGUGGGUAAAACAGACCAACACACCAACUGAAUUGAAUGCAUGGUGAUAACUGAUCUAAAUGGAGUAUGCACGGUGGUAUCAUAGAUGUAUGCCCUCUAAACAAGGCUGGGGUUUGGAGAGGAGAAGGAGCAAAGAUAACUAGCUGGAAAAUGCUUCUCAAUGAGUUUUAAGGGAUAAAGAUGGUGUCUUGAGAAAUGAAGUCAUACCAGAUAAAAAAGAACAGCAUAACAAGGCAUGUGGUUCUUAAAAGAUGUGGCUUGUUUGGGCAACCCCAAAUGGGCCAGCAUGGCAGUCAAUUGCAUACAAGGGAUUGUUGGAAGAUAAAGUAGAAAGCUUUACCAUGAAGGUACAUCAAGCUAAAGAGAAUGAAAAUUAUUCUGAAAUUUUUUUCUCUUUUUUUAGCUCUUAUUUUUGGUUCUCAGCUAGAGGGUGUAACCAUACUCUCUAGGGGGGCCUUGUAAAUGCCUGAGGAAGGUGUUUGUCAUUAAAAAAUUGGGAAAUAUGCUAGGCUUUUUGUGGAUGGGCCAAAGAUGUUGAAUAUCUUGCAUGUAGGCUAAUACCUUAGAACAAAAUCUAAAGUAUCAGUAGCAUUCCCACUGUGGCACAGUGGGCUAAGAGUACCACUGCAGUGGCUCAGGUCACUAUGGAGGUGCUGAUUGGUUUCCAGGCCUUGGGUAGUGGGUUAAAGAAUCCUGUGUUGCUAUAGCUUCAACAUAGUUUGCAUCUGUGGUUCAGAUUUAAUCACUGGCCCAGGAACUUCCAUAUGCAGUGGGCACAGCCAUUAAAUAAAUUAGUUAAUAAAGUUAAUUAAAUGGCAAUAAAACUUUUACUGCAAAAUACUGAAGUGUUUUAGGCAAGUAAAACACAUGUAGUGAUUGCAUCUUGGAAAGAUCACCUCAGCAUCAGUCCUCAGGGAGAACUUUUUAACGGGGAACUGCCAACAGAGAGACUAGUUAAAACAAUUUUGGAGGAAAAGAAACGGAAUGAGAAGUCAAUACCACUGAGGAUAGAGAAAGAGAGAGGGACUUGAGAGAUAAUUAAAAAAUAGAAUCAACAUAAUCUUGUUAAAGAGUGGGAUGGUAAGGAAGUGAGAAAUUUAGGAUUAUUCUCCAGUUUCUCACUUUUUAGGUAGCUGAAUGGAAGAUGACGACAUUUACAGUAUGGGAGAUAGAGAACAAAAUAGUCUGAGGUUGUAAUUGAUGUAUUUGUGGAGCAUCUCUCAGGGGAUAAGUUGGGGAGUAGACCUAAAAAUAUGAGAGCCAUCACAUCGAGAAGCUAUUAGAGCUUGGGGUGGGAAUGAGGUCACUCAAGAAGGAUGUCAAAGGAGAGCAGUGAGCCAGAACAGAUCACCCAGAAACACCAAUAUUUAGGGGAAAAGAGAGAAAGAGGAAAAUCAUGUUCCUAUUAUUAGGAAUAUUAUUUUUCAGUUAUAGGAUCCUGAACCUUGGUUGCUAAAUGUAACCGUGAACUUUGGAAAAGAUUGACUGAAGCCUCCUUUGAUGCAAGAAUGCAGUUCUUAUUCUCAUUUUUACACUAAACUCAAGAAGAUCAAGAGAAGGAAAUAUGAAGAAAGAUGAAAAUUCUGGUUGAAAAUAAAUCUGAGCAAAGAUACCAAUGAGAAUGUUAUAUAUAAUAAGAAACCCUAAAGAUAAAAUUUUACUAAUUGAGCAUGAUCCUAUAUAACUUGUACUUUUAAUUCUCUGCUGGAUUUUAUUUUGAUACCACCAAUACACAUAAAUGGUACUUAAUUCACAUUGAUUCCUUACCAUGAGACUAUCAUCCAAGUUAAACCAAAAACAUGAAGAUUACAUUCAUUUUUAUCUAGGAACUUAAAUUUCACAUUUUAAGGAGGGCAUACCAAAAACCUAUGCAUAUAAACAACGACGGUUAAUUCCAUUAAUAUUAGAAGAGUUUGGGCUAUGCCCACAUGAGGUAAAAAAAACGUGGAUCAAAGUGUAAAUAAAUAGAGGAAGGUAGAUCUGCAUUGUGAACAAUUUUCCCACCAGCUGGAACUGUUAUGAGAUUGAUCUUAUAAUGAAAGGCAGCUGGGGAUAAAGAACGACCACAUCUGUUAGUCACUUUAAUGAGAAAAAUGCAACAGAAAUUGAGGACAGCUGUAGUCAAAAUGUAAGCCCUAAAGAUUCAGAUAGGAAGCUGCUGUCCAAGUCCCUCCCUGAAACAUCAGACACGUUUCUUUGCAGAAUUAAUGCUGUUUUCUGUGGAUUCUUGCAGGCAGUGGCAGUCUUUGCGCCUUCAAAUCUGUGCUCCUGCUGCCUCCAUGGGGGACAGUUUCCAGGUGGUUUAAAUUCAAGGUGAAAUUUGAAAAUCAGAUCCAAAUUGUUUUUAUCAAAAUCACAAAUGAUAACCCUCAUUCUGUUUAGUUUCCUCUAUGCCCUCAUAACUCUUGAGUUAAUCCCAACCUUAGCCCUCAAAAUUAAAGCCUCCUUUUCCUAAACCAUUGAAAACUCCAGGAUGCCAACCAGACUCUGUGAUGCUUUCUUCCUUCUCAUCACAGUCACAUCAUGCUGUCCUUUUGCCCUUUUCUUUGGAAGUUCUGCUCCCUAAUAAUUUCAUUCUGGAGCCAGAUGAUUUCAUCGACCAUCUGUAUAAGGAUACUUUCCAAAUCUACUUAGCCGCCCCUGACCUGGUAUUCUCCAAUCAGUCACACAUUUUAUCAUGUUGAACCACCCUUCCAAAUGAAUCACUGUCAUGGUGAACUGCCACGUAGAAAGCUCUGCGGAAGACUGAAGUUGCGCAACUUUCCACUGAGUUCUUCUGUGUUAAAUAGAAACAUCUCCUGCAUGACUUCUGAUGUCCUCCUUUUGCUGUCCCCAUUUUCCCCUCUUAACCUAAUUUCCUCAGUAAGUAUGUCUACACCCUGUGACUCUUCCCUCGGUCUAGUCUU